GAUGAACGCUGGCGGCGUGCCUAAUACAUGCAAGUCGAGCGAACAGACGAGGAGCUUUCUCCUCUGACGUUAGCGGCGGACGGGUGAGUAACACGUGGAUAACCUACCUAUAAGACUGGGAUAACUUCGGGAAACCGGAGCUAAUACCGGAUCAUAUAUUGAACCGCAUGGUUCAAUAGUGAAAGACGGUUUUGCUGUCACUUAUAGAUGGAUCCGCGCCGCAUUAGCUAGUUGGUAAGGUAACGGCUUACCAAGGCGACGAUGCGUAGCCGACCUGAGAGGGUGAUCGGCCACACUGGAACUGAGACACGGUCCAGACUCCUACGGGAGGCAGCAGUAGGGAAUCUUCCGCAAUGGGCGAAAGCCUGACGGAGCAACGCCGCGUGAGUGAUGAAGGUCUUCGGAUCGUAAAACUCUGUUAUUAGGGAAGAACAAAUGUGUAAGUAACUAUGCACGUCUUGACGGUACCUAAUCAGAAAGCCACGGCUAACUACGUG
rnacentral:rRNA from 1 species